rnacentral:rRNA from 1 species
GAAAAGAAACUAACAAGGAUUCCCCUAGUAACUGCGAGUGAAGCGGGAAGAGCUCAAAUUUGAAAUCUGGCGGUUCCGCCGCCCGAGUUGUAAUCUGGAGAAGCGUUUUCCGUGCCGGACCGUGUACAAGUCCCUUGGAACAGGGCGUCAUAGAGGGUGAGAAUCCCGUCUUUGACACGGACUCCCGGUGCUCUGCGAUGCGCUCUCGAAGAGUCGAGUUGUUUGGGAAUGCAGCUCAAAAUGGGUGGUAAAUUCCAUCUAAAGCUAAAUAUUGGCGAGAGACCGAUAGCGAACAAGUACCGUGAGGGAAAGAUGAAAAGCACUUUGGAAAGAGAGUAAAACAGUACGUGAAAUUGUUGAAAGGGAAACGCUUGAAGUCAGUCGCGUCUUCUGGGACUCAGCCUUGCUUCUGCUCGGCGCACUUCCCAGUUUGACGGGUCAGCAUCGGCUCUGGGGGGCGGACAAAGGCGCGGGGAAGGUGGCAGCUCCGGCUGUGUUAUAGCCCCGCGCUACGCGUCCCCCGGGACCGAGGAAUCCGGCGCUCGCGCCUGGGAUGCUGGCGUAAUGGCUUUAAACGACCCGUCUUGAA